rnacentral:tRNA from 1 species
GGAGUUGUAGCUCAGUGGUAGAGCACUUGCCUAGCAGGAGUUAAGCACUGGGUUUGAUCCUCAACACCA